GGCUGGCACAAUCGGUAGCGCGUGAGACUCUUAAUCUCAAGGUUGUGGGUUCGGUUCGUAAAGCCUUCAUUCAGUUCAAUA